AUUUAGGGUUUAGAGUUUAGGUUUAGGAUUUAGGGUUUAGAGUUUGGGUUUUGGAUUUAGGGUUUAGAAUUUAAAAUUUAGGGUUUUGUUAGUGGCAUCAAUUUUUUGUUUUGAUUUUUAAAACAAAAUUAAUAUUUUUAUUUAAUAAUCUAACUAGCACUUUGAUUGGUUAUAAUAAAAGUGGUGAAUUUAAAGGUUCACUAUAGGAGCGGAACCUAAGUUUUGUCCUAAAAACAUGCAAAGCACUCAUGGUUUCUAUUCAAACUCGGGUUGUUAGCUUUUUUAAAGCUGUAUAAACUAAUGCAAUAAGUGAUAUUUAUUGUAAAUUUUUACGAAUAGAUAAUAGAUUAAAACAAAAACAUAAAGAUGGAUCCCACCAAAAUAAAUAAAAUGCUGAGGUGGACACCUUAAAGAGAAAACAAAAACUCAAUCUAUAUACUAUAUUAAAAGGGAUAUAUGAGGAGUAGGGAGGGUGUCCACGUCAGACAAAAAAAUUAACCAAUCAGGUUGCAAUGUUUUGCCACGUAAGCUCUUUGUUGCCCGUGUUAUUCUUUGGCGUUUUCGUUUGGGCUUUGCGUUUUUCUCCUUUGAUCUGCUGUGUAUACGUUUGGGCCAUGGAGCCCAUCAGACUUUAGAGACGGAAAUCUGAUACCUCGCCGAGUAUGUAUGCUGAGAUCUCGCCCUUUCUCAUUUCUUCAAACCCUAACUCUUCGACAUCCCCUUUGCUCUUCCUCUUAUUUGUUCCGUUUCACGUCUGAUUCUCCAGUGCUGCCAUGAUCACGGAGUCAACUUCUUCGACAACGCCGAGGUUUACGCCAAUGGCCGAGCUGAGAAGAUCAUGGGUCUGGCGAUUCGCGAGCUGGACUGGCGGAGAUCCGACAUCGUGGUCUCCACCAAGAUCUUCUGGGGUGGUCCUGGUCCUAACGAUAAAGGUUUCUCGAGGAAACAUAUCAUCGAAGGAACCAAAGCUUCUCUCAAAAGACUCGAUAUGGACUAUGUAGAUGUCCUCUAUUGCCACAGACCAUGUCAGGUGAUUCUAAGACGACAGGUCGGCUCUUCUUAUGAUCAGUGUUUUUGUCAGCCUUCUAUUCAACAGUUUCGUCAAUAGAAGGCUGACAAAAACACUGAUCAUAAAAAGGACCCCAAGGGCAGUACAAGCCAAGGAAAUCCUCCAAAAAAUCUGGUAAGAAGCAUGAGUCUAAACCUGACACUGGUGGUGUCAGUGACGAGGCAGAAGCUCCGUCUGAUGUGGCUGUAGGAGGAGCUUCAUCUCAUGUGAAUAUUGGUGAGGAGGUUGUUGAUCCUCCACCGACUUCUGUAAAUGCAGCAGCUAACAGUGAUGUUUCAGUUGACACGCUUCAGCCAGGAAACACCACAGCAACUUCUGAUAGUGGAGAUGAACCGAGAAAAGAAGUUGCGAAUUCCGAAAAUGAUAUCAGCGUAGCAUUGUCCACGGAAGAAGAGAAUGUGAAGAGUAUCGACAUUGGAGCGGCUGGCGCAGUAGAUUCUUUGACGUCUGACCUUGCAGAUACCGAGAAGGGAGUUACACAUGACGAUGCAGAGGAGUCCCUUCUGGCCGUACGAUCUGAGUUACAAAAGAGAUCUAAUGAACUUGAACAAUCAGAACAGAGGUUAUUAUCUACUAGAGAGAAGCUUAGCAUAGCUGUUGUCACGUGUUAGCUCUGUUUGUUCUCAUAUGCAUUUUAAGACUCAGAGACAGAGAGAGCAUUAUCUGUUGUGUUUUAGUUUUUGUUGUUUCCACUUUUUAAAAACAAGUAUAAUGUUUUUGAAACUUAAAAGUUGGCUUUUAUAGUUGUUGUCAAGAGGUCAGUAGUAAUGUAGUAUAUUGAAAAGCUCAUUUAAACGA